rnacentral:rRNA from 1 species
UGUCGUAAACCCAGGUUUCCGUAGGUGAACCUGCGGAAGGAUCAUUAAUGAAAUGCAAGGACGCUCUUUUUAGAGGUCCGACCCAAUUCAUUUUCUCACACUGUGCACAUACACUUUUUUACACCAUUUUUAACACCUAAGUCUUAAGAAUGUAAAGAGUCUCUUAAUUGAGCAUAAAAGUUAAACAAAACUUUCAGCAACGGAUCUCUUGGCUCUCCCAUCGAUGAAGAACGCAGCGAAAUGCGAUACGUAAUGUGAAUUGCAGAAUUCAGUGAAUCAUCGAAUCUUUGAACGCACCUUGCACUCUUUGGUAUUCCGAAGAGUAUGUCUGUUUGAGUGUCAUGAAACUCUCAACCCCCUUGUUUUGUAAUGAAGCAAGAGUGGGCUUGGAUUAUGGCUGCUGCCGGCGUAAUUGUCGACUCGGCUGAAAUACACGAGCUACCCAUUUCUUAAGAAAUAGACGGUUUGACUCGGCGUAAUAACAUAUUUCGCUGAGGACGUCACAUUCUUUACUUAGUGGUGCUUCUAAUUCACAUCUAAACUUAAGCUUUAGACCUCAAAUCAGUCAGGACUACCCGCUGAACUUAAGCAUAUCAAUAAGCGGAGGAAAAGAAACUAACAAGGAUUCCCCUAGUAACGGCGAGUGAAGUGGGAAAAGCUCAACUUUGAAAUCUGGCAGCUUCGCUGUCCGAGUUGUAGUCUCGAGAAGUGUUUUCCGCGCUGGAACAUGUAUGAGUCUGUUGGAACACAGCGUCAUAGAGGGUGAGAACCCCGUUCAUGACAUGCCUCCCAGUGCUUUGUGAUACACUUUCGAUGAGUCGAGUUGUUUGGGAAUGCAGCUCAAAUUGGGUGGUAAAUUCCAUCUAAAGCUAAAUAUUGGGGAGAGACCGAUAGCAAACAAGUACCGUGAGGGAAAGAUGAAAAGCACUUUGGAAAGAGAGUUAAAAGUACGUGAAAUUGUUGAAAGGGAAACGCUUGAAGUCAGACGUGCGCAGCUUCGGCUAAUGCAGGCUAGCAUCGGUUUUGCGAGUCGGAUAAAGGUAAGAGGAAGGUGGCAGCUUCGGCUGUGUUAUAGCCUCUUACUGAAUACGAAUUGCGAGACCGAGGAAUGCAGCGCGCCGCAAGGCAAAGGGUUCGCCCUUCGCGCUAGGAUGCUGUAA